CGUGCCGCCGGCAGGGCCCGGCCCGGCCCGGCCCCGGCUCUGCGAGCCCUUCCCGCGCCACGCCGAAAAUCAGGCACUGAGGAGAGGAAACACGACUGAAAAAUCUCUUUUUAAAAAGGACUGUGUAUACAACCAAGCUGUUUACCCAUCCUCUGGAAAUGUGAUUCUUUUGGGCGCCCUGGAGCAUGGCAGGGAACAGGGCUCCUAGUAUGAGGAUGACAUGGGAGAAACAAGAACUAUCUACACGUGUCUGUGUAUGUGCCAUUCAGCCAGAAUGUGCAUAAUUUUUUCUAACUACAUGAUUUUAUUCUCAAAAUUGUAAAAUAUUACAGAGAAAUCAUAAGCCUGCAAGAAAUUUACAGCCAUCUCAUUUCUGGCUUAUACAUUCCUAAACAAUUUUUUCUGGCACAGAUGGUAACAUCAUAACUUCAGAUUGCAUUGCCAUCCAUUGCUGUGGCUGUUCCUGGGUGUGGGAAGAGGUGAUGAUUAGCUAAGACAAAACUUGCUGUUCACAACAUCUUGAAAAUUUGUUUUUAUUGAUGAUAAAAAUGGCUUUCAAAUAAACUGAAGAUUUUA